AAGAUAUUAGUAAAAUAUUACAUGGCCUUGUCGUGGCCAAAUUGCCGGCUCAUCCGACACAUCUUAU
rnacentral:tRNA from 1 species